rnacentral:rRNA from 1 species
UCUCGCGGCCUAUCAGCUUGUUGGUGAGGUAGUGGCUCACCAAGGCGACGACGGGUAGCCGGCCUGAGAGGGCGGCCGGCCACACUGGGACUGAGACACGGCCCAGACUCCUACGGGAGGCAGCAGUGGGGAAUAUUGCACAAUGGGCGGAAGCCUGAUGCAGCGACGCCGCGUGAGGGAUGACGGCCUUCGGGUUGUAAACCUCUUUCAGCAGGGAAGAAGCGCAAGUGACGGUACCUGCAGAAGAAGCACCGGCUAACUACGUGCCAGCAGCCGCGGUAAUACGUAGGGUGCGAGCGUUGUCCGGAAUUAUUGGGCGUAAAGAGCUUGUAGGUGGUUUGUCGCGUCUGCUGUGAAAAUCCGAGGCUCAACCUCGGACUUGCAGUGGGUACGGGCAGACUAGAGUGUGGUAGGGGAGACUGGAAUUCCUGGUGUAGCGGUGGAAUGCGCAGAUAUCAGGAGGAACACCGAUGGCGAAGGCAGGUCUCUGGGCCAUUACUGACACUGAGAAGCGAAAGCAUGGGGAGCGAACAGGAUUAGAUACCCUGGUAGUCCAUGCCGUAAACGUUGGGAACUAGGUGUGGGUCUCAUUCCACGAGAUCCGUGCCGCAGCUAACGCAUUAAGUUCCCCGCCUGGGGAGUACGGAAGCUUGGAAUUCGC